AUACUUAAAACCCACAGGAUAGAAAACCACCACAGAGAUACAGCUAUUAUUAUUAUUUUUAUUAUGAUUAUUAUUAUUUGGGUGGUUAAUCUCAGCACUGCAGUGAUUAGCACUGAUGGGGGUGGUGUAUGAGCUGCUAGCGUGUGUGUAUCCUGUGGGUGGAGUCCUGUGGUCUAUCUUGUGGGCGGAGUCAUGUGGUCUAUCCUGUGGGCGGAGUUCAGGGUGAAGGGAGUAGAAGUUGAUAUAACUAAUUUUAACUUGUUUCAGUUUUUGCUGAUCAGGAUGUAGAAAGAGGAAAAAACGUGAAGCUCAUUUGUGACGCAAACACAGGAAACGUCACGGCGACGUGGGCGAAGGACGGCUGUCAGCUGCGUGUGAAGGGGAAGCACAUCUCAACCGCCAGGAACUCGACCUUCAGCCUGGAGAUUAAAAACGUAGAGAAGGAUGUAGGAAAAUACAGCCUAACUUUAACCAACAUCACCGGCAGCGUCUCCCAUUCCGCCAACAUCACCCUCGCACUGAAGGAAUGGAGGAACAUACCAAAAGAGCCGAAUGAAAUGAUAAAAUCCCUGAAAAAUCUGAAGAUCUGUACUGAUGAGGUCACAGAACUCCGCCUCCUCCUGCACGGUCCAGUUGGGGCAGGAAAAUCCAGCAUCAUCAACACCAUUAAAAGUAUUUUUGAAAAUCGUCCGUUUGUUAACGCUCCGGCAGCGACAGGUUCCUCCACCAGUUAUACUCUGAAUUACAAGAAAUACAGUGUGGGACGUUUUGCCAUCUAUGAUGUGAAAGGUCUGGAACGUACUUCAGGAGGGGUUAAUCCUGAUGACAUCAUCAAUGCUUUAAAAGGCCACAUAAAAAAUGGCUACAAAUUUGGUGAUGAUCCAAUAAAUACAGAUGAUGAAUUUUACAACAUCAGUCCCGGCCUGAACGAUAAGAUCCACUGUUUGAUCAGCGUCAUCCCGGCAAGCAACCCCUCUGGUCGGGGACCCGACGGCAAAGAGGCCUUUAUAGAUGAGGAGAUGGUGUAAAAGCUGAAGAACAUCAGAGAAAACGCUAGUAAACUGGAAAUCCCUCAGGUGGUUUUCAUGACGAAGGUGGAUAAAGCGUGCCCCACGACGAAGGAGGAUCUGAGUAAGAUCUACACGAGCAAGAAGAUCAAGGAGAAAAUGGAGGUGUGCAGUAAUUUGCUGAACGUUCCAAUGAACUGCAUCUUCCCAGUCCAGAACUACCAUGAAGAGAACAAGCUGGACCCGGUGCUGAACAGCCUGAUGCUGGAUGCCCUAAACCAGGUGGUCCACUGGGCCAACGACUACCUGAAGAGCGUCUACGAGUCGCAGAAACAUGUCGAGUGAUCGUACUCAGCAGUAGAACAGAACACCAAUACACUGCUUAGCCGUAACUUUAGCACCACCUGCUUAUUACUGCGUAUGAUCCUCUGCACUGCUACAACAGCUCUUUAUUAUAUAAUGUUCUUCAUGAAUGUGCUUUAUAUUACUGUUGUUCAUUAAUGUACUUUAUUGUAUACCCUGUUUUGAAACGUGAAUAAAGGAAAUGCCACAUC